AUGCUUAAUUCAUGGCAACUCAAGUACCUAAAGGUGGAAACUCGGUUUGGUUUUCUUGCAGAAGUCUGCCUGGCUUUUCUUCUUUUCCCUAUAUUAAGAGGUCUGGCCUUGUUUCUGUUGCUUGGCAUCCAGUUUGAAGCUUUUGUAAGAUACCAUAUAUGGCUUGGGACUGCAAUGAUAUUUUUUGCCACUUUCCAUGGUACAAGCACUUUGUUCAUUUGGGGGUUCAGCCACUUUAUCCAGGAGAAGAUAUGGGAAUGGCAGAAAAGCGGGCGGAUGUACCUUGCUGGGGAGAUCUGUCUGGUCACAGGGUUAGUGAUUUGGAUCACAUCACUUCCUCAAAUAAGGAGAAAACAGUUUGAAAUAUUUUACUACACACACCAUCUCUACAUGGUUUUUCUGGUAUUCUUCUUGUUUCAUGCUGGAGACCGUCACUUCUACAUGGUUUUCCUUUUCCCUGGAAUUUUUCUGUUUGGCCUUGACAAGCUCCUUCUGAUCAUACAAUCUAGACGCGAAACAUGCAUUCUUUCAGCACGAAUCUUCCCCUCCAAAGCUAUAGAGCUUAUUCUACCAAAAGAUCCAGGGCCCAAGUAUACACCAACAAGCAUUAUAUUUGUGAAGGUACCAAGUAUAUCCAAAUAUGAGUGCCACUCAUUUAGCAUUACUUCCAGCUCUAGGGUUGAUGACAACACAAUAUCUAUAAUGAUCAAAUCCGAAGGAUCGUGGACAAGUUCUCUCUCCCAUAUGAUCCAAACUAGGCAAGAGUCGGAUGGCGAUCAGACGAAGUACAUACCUAUUGCAGUAGAAGGCCCUUAUGGACCUGUCUCUAUGGACUUCCUAAGAUAUGAUAGUCUACUUCUUGUUUCUGGAGGAAUUGGAAUAACCCCAGUUCUGAGCAUCAUACAGGAACUUGCUUCGUCCCAAAACAGCGGCAUAAACAAAUUCCUACCAAGAAUGCAGCUUAUAUAUGUUGUGAAGAAGUCCCAAGACAUUUGUCUGUUGAACUCAAUCUCACCUCUAAUAUUUGGCCAGCCAGCAGAAAAAUGCCUUCUGAAAGUUAAAGUCUUUGUGACCCAAGAAGAGCAGUCUGAUGCAACAGUAAGAGAACUAGUAAACGAGUUUUCUCAAGUGCAAACAGUGAACUUUGGCACAAAGUUCUUGAAUUUUUCAAUCAGUGAACUCGAAAACUCACUUUGGAUGGCUGCCAUAGCUGGAAUUUCCGCUAUCCUGUUUCUCAUCUUUCUCAUUAUGUUCAACCACAUUUUUGUUCCCUCCCAGAAAAAUCCCACCAAGGAGAAGACUCCAUCUUGGGUUGCAGAUCUUCUUAUCAUAUCUUCCUUCAUUCUGGCAUUAAUUUGCAGCAUCUUUGUAGCACUUGUUAUAAGAUGGAGAAGGCUAAAGAAACAGAUUCGUCCUACCCCCCAAAAACAAAGCAAAGCUUAGAAAAAGGGUCAACACAAGCAAGUGAUGCUCUUGAGGAACAUGAAAUCCAUUUUGGAGGCAGGCCUAACUUUGAAGCGGAUAUCUUUGCAAAGUUUCCAGAUGAGACAGGUGGAUCUGAUAUUGGAGUGUUGGUCUAUGGACCUGAGACUACGAAGGAAUCAGUGGGGCAUCAAUUUGCCAGAAAAAUGUGGAGCUAAGAAGCAGAAACCCAAUUUCAGCUUCCACUCCCUCAAUUUCACACUCUAGUCUCACACCAGAAACCAUAAUAAAAAGUGAAGAUAAUAACAGUUAGAUUUACAUCCAAAAUAGUAUAGUGAUCAAUCAACUCCA